AAUUAUCCACUACAAUAAAACUACUUUACCGACAUUUCCAUAGUACUUUUUAAUAAUAUCACGUUGGUAACAUUAGUUUUACAUCCCGCUUUUAAAUAAACGUCAAGUUUUUGUGUACAAGAAAAACGUUCUUGGAGAGAUCCUGUUUGAUCCUGUUUUUUAAUACUACUCCAUCACGUAAACGUUCAUUCUCCGCCAAGUAACUUUCCAUCCCAGCUUAUAGUAAUCCUUUAUAACAAAUUUUAAUCCAAUUAUUCACCUAAUUAUUUUUUAAGACUUUUAUUUUAACCUGUACUAUUUUCACUAUGAGUUUUACUUGUAUAAUCUGUAGCGACAUUCUUAAUCCUACAAUUGAUAUUUAUGCAACAACGUGCGGGCAUAUAUUUCAUUAUAUUUGUCUUAUUCAAUGGCUUCAAAGAUCAAAAAGUUGUCCCCAAUGCCGAUGUAAAGUUACAGAAAAAGAUAUGAUACGUCUCUACGUUACCUCACUAAAUACUUCAGGGAUUGUCGAAGAUGUUGGUUCUUUACAAAUAAGACUAGAUAAUGCAUUGUUUCAAAUUAAGCUCAAGGAUUUAGAUAUCAAAAAGAACGAAGAAAAGAUGUUAAAGGAGAAAAAGCGAAAUGAACUUUUAAGGACCGAGAUACAACAACAUGAAUCUGACAAAGUAACUUACGAGUCCGUUAUUCGUAGCUUAAAGGACCAAGUGCAAUAUUUUAAAACAAAAGUAAAAGAUUUUGAACAACUUCGAGAUGAAAACAAAUCCUUGUCAAUCAAAAUAAAAGAUAUGCAAAACAUUGACUUGAUUAUAUCGGGUUGCAAAGAUCAAGUUACAGAAAUGCUUAAAUAUGAUCAUGAUCCAAAAUCUUUAUCUUUAAUGGUGCAAACAUUAAAAAAGGAACUUGUUGAAAAUCAAAGAAAACAUCGAUAUGAUAAUAUGACAAUGAAAGUUUUGCAUGCCAAUAUUACUCAAUUGAAAAAUGAGUUGGUAGAUGUAAAAAAGGAAUUUGAGGAUUUUAAAGAAAAUAAGGGAAGAAGAUGUUUAGCUCCUAAGUUAAAGCCUACUAACUCGCCCAUUUGUCUUGAUUCAACUUAUGUUAAUAAAUCAUCAGACUCGGAUUGUUUUAUUUUAGAUUCACCAAAGCAGCCAUCUAAAUCUUUACCUGCAACUGAAAAUGCUGGUUCAAAACUUCACUUAGAUUUAACUUAUACGCCAGCAAUAAAAAGUAGCAGUGUGGGUCUAUCUUGUAUAAUAAGCCCAGUAGUCACUAAAUCCAAUGAAGGUGUUAAAAAAACAAUAGGACAGUUAUUACUACCAAAAACGACUAAACCAUUCAAUUGUGAUUAUCAUUAUGAUGGUAUGGGUGGUCAUAGUAAAGAUGUUCGGUUCCCAGAACCGCAAUUAGCGAGACCAUCACCAGGAAUUAAAGGAUUUAAAAGACACCAAUCAGCUAUGAAAUCUAUCAAUAAACACAAAGUACGAAAAUUGGCCGCCAAAGGUCUUUCUGAAUAUGUAAAUAAACAAUGUGAUGAUGAUGGAGAUACUGCAUAAGAUUUUUUCUGUAUUUUUAUAUGAUUUUAAUAUUUUACUGCGAUUAAUUUAUUUUUGUAAUAAUAAUGAAUAAAAAAAAGAAAUAGUUUUUUUAAUUGCAAAAGUGUUCAUUAAUAACUGAGACUCAGUCAGGAAAACAGUACAUGAUAAUAAUUUAACCCCUGGUCAUAAGACUAAAAUUCCAAUGAAAGUGGAUUGUUCUGGAAAGUUUUGCCAAACAAGGCAUGUGUUUACAGGGAAGAGCGAAAAGUACCAAGCAGACAAGUGUCCAAAAACAAGGCAAAGCGAGAUCACCUAGGGAAUUUAAAAAUGUUACCAAAAGCAAGCAUGGGAUGCCAAAGAAGUUUUCCUAGAAUAAUUCCGCAAUGAUUUUGUCUCAGUAGUACGACGUUUUUUAAAAAGCAAGAACUUUCCGCCGAAAGCACUUCUUAUUUUAGACAAUAAACACUAUUUUUGCCACCUAAUUGUACACCACUGCUUCAACUUAUGAAUCAAAAUGUGAUCCAAAUGAUAAAGACUUAUUAUAAAAAAAAUCCUGAAUGCAGUUUUGCGAGAAGAUAUAUCACGAAAACGUUAAAAGACACGAAUUUAAAACAUGCUGUAUUUACCGUGACUGAGGCUUGAAAUAGUGUACUUGAGAGGGUAAUACGAUCGUCAUGGCGGAAGUUGUUGGCAUCAUUAGAUAAUAAUGAAGUAAAAGCUGAAUGAACUU
rnacentral:misc_RNA from 1 species